rnacentral:rRNA from 1 species
CGGAAACGAAGGUAGCUUGCUACCAGGCGUCGAGCGGCGGACGGGUGAGUAACGCGUAGGAAUCUACCUAGUAGUGGGGGAUAGCCCAGAGAAAUUUGGAUUAAUACCGCAUACACCCUACGGGGGAAAGGAGGGGAUCUUCGGACCUUUCGCUAUUAGAUGAGCCUGCGUGAGAUUAGCUAGUUGGUGGGGUAAAGGCUCACCAAGGCGACGAUCUCUAGCUGGUCUGAGAGGAUGAUCAGCCACACUGGGACUGAGACACGGCCCAGACUCC